rnacentral:rRNA from 1 species
ACGAACGCUGGCGGCGUGCCUAACACAUGCAAGUCGUACGAGGUUGUCGAGGUGCUUGCACUUCGGCGCCUAGUGGCGAACGGGUGCGUAACACGUGAGCAACCUACCUCGUGGUGGGGGAUAGCCGGCCUAACGGCCGGGUAAUACCGCGUACGACACCGGAUUCGCAUGGAUCUGGUGUGAAAGCGGCCGCAAGGUCGCGCCGCGGGAGGGGCUCGCGGCCUAUCAGCUUGUUGGUGGGGUAACGGCCUACCAAGGCGACGACGGGUAGCUGGUCUGAGAGGAUGGCCAGCCACAUUGGGACUGAGAUACGGCCCAGACUCCUACGGGAGGCAGCAGUGGGGAAUAUUGCGCAAUGGCCGCAAGGCUGACGCAGCGACGCCGCGUGUGGGAUGAAGGCCUUCGGGUUGUAAACCACUGUCAGGAGGGACGAAUACCCGGCUUCGAAUAGGAGACCGGGGGUGACGGUACCUCCAGAGGAAGCACCGGCUAACUCCGUG